GCCAUGCCAAAAUCCGAAAUUUUGGGGUUCAUUUCUCCAUCUAGCAAUAUAUUGCUAGUUUUGAGAUCACGAUGUAUAAUUCUAAGCCGAGAAUCUUCAUGGAGAUAAAGAAUUCCUCGAGCUAUCCCUCCUAAAAUCUUGUAACGUCUUGACCAAUCUAACAGUCCUUGUUUUUCAGGAUCGAAUAGGAAGUAGUCAAGAC
rnacentral:misc_RNA from 1 species